UUACGCUUGCGCCCUGAUGGUUCCCCUGACCGGGAUCAAAAGGGAACGCAGUGAGGCGCAGCAAUGCGCCGAGUCUGCGGCUGCCCCCGCAACUGUAAGCGACGAGUUCGCGCCACUCAUGACCACUGGGACACCGGGAAGGUCGGCGCAGAAUGACGACUCGCGAGCCAGGAGACCUGCCAUCGACCGAGGUCUGCG
rnacentral:ncRNA from 2 species